rnacentral:rRNA from 1 species
CAUGAGCUUAAUUUGGAAUGGCAUUCGAUACUGGGAAGCUAGAGUAUGGGAGAGGAUGGUAGAAUUCCAGGUGUAGCGGUGAAAUGCGUAGAGAUCUGGAGGAAUACCGAUGGCGAAGGCAGCCAUCUGGCCUAAUACUGACGAUGAGGUACGAAAGCAUGGGGAGCAAACAGGAUUAGAUACCAUGGUAGUCCAUGCCGUAAACGAUGUCUACUAGCCGUUGGGGCCUUUGAGGCUUUAGUGGCGCAGCUAACGCGAUAAGUAGACCGCCUGGGGAGUACGGUCGCAAGACUAAAACUCAAAUGAAUUGACGGGGGCCCGCACGAGCGGUGGAGCAUGUGGUUCAAUUGGAUGCAACGGGAAGAACCUUACCUGUUCUUGACAUAGUAAGAACUUUCCAGAGAUGGAUUGGUGCCUUCGGGGACUUACAUACAGGUGCUGCAUGGCUGUCGUCAGCUCGUGUCGUGAGAUGUUGGGUUAAGUCCCGCAACGAGCGCAACCCUUUUCCUUAUUUGCCAGCGGGUUAAGCCGGGAACUUUAAGGAUACUGCCAGUGACAAACUGGAGGAAGGCGGGGAGGACGUCAAGUCAUCAUGGCCCUUACGACCAGGGCUACACACGUGCUACAAUGGUCGGUACAAAGGGUUGCUACCUAGCGAUAGGAUGCUAAUCUCAAAAACCCGAUCGUAGUCCGGAUUGGAGUCUGCAACUCGACUCCAUGAAGUCGGAAUCGAUAGUAGUCGCGGAUCAGAAUGCCGCGGUGAAUACGUUCCCGGGCCUUGCACACACCGCCCGUCACACCAUGGGAAUUUGUUGCACCAGAAGUAGGUAGUCUAACCGCAAGGAGGACGCUACCACGAGGCCGAAGUUGG